UCCCUGGUAGCUCAGAUGGUAAAGAGUCUGCCUGAAGUGCAGAAAACCCAGGUUCGAUCCCUGGGUUGGGAA
rnacentral:tRNA from 1 species